GUCCCCUUCUCCCUCCAUCACCGACCCUCUGCCAGGCCAGGGGAGAAGGACACUGACAGGCGCCCCGCACCGUGGGGUGGCGGUGAAAUAAGGGGCAGGCUGCUCAGAAAAGGAUCAGAAUGGACUCCCUCCCCCUCCGUCGCUGCGCUCGCUGCCCGCGCCUCCCCCCUCUCGGCCGCGCCGCGCACGGAUGGCAGAGCCGCAGAGCUUUGGGUCACCCUCACACCAGAGACCUUAGAGGUCUUUCUUUUCAUGCUCUGAUGCCAUCCAAGCAGACCAACAUUAACUGAAGCAAGUCAGAAAUGCAGAUUCCCAGGUCCCACUAAUUACCUGCUAGAUUACAGCCUGAAUCUAAGGAGGACCACACAGCCCCCAGCCCCCAGAAGAUUCCUAUGCACAUCAAAGGUGAAGAAGCUCUGAGAGAAAUUGUGCUAUGCAACUUGCUCUUGUAGUAAUAGCAGUGUCAACAUGGAGUGGUUAUGUUUCUUGUUCA